UGCAAGGAAUUGUCACAGCAAAUAAACAAUUUCAAUUCACCUGAAAACAACAGAACUAAAUGAUCUGAAAAGAAUGUUUUGUGAAAAUCUCUAAUGUAUGACGGGGUGUGUAUCAGAACUGACUGAAGAGCUAGUUAUAAUCAUCCAAUGUUCUAAGGAUUGGUCAUCCCUGUUCUGUUAUAUCAAUUAAUUUCACAUUCUCUAGUAAAAUAUAUGAUAAACACAGACAUCUAUAGCUACAAUUUUAUUAUUGAAGCAUGUAAAAUACUUACUUUAAAUGAUAAUUUGGUUUGUUCUGAUGGCUGCCUAUGUAGCAUGAUAAGACAAAGGAGAAUAAAAAAAAGUGUUAAACCUAAGCAGCAAAACGAUAAUAAAUCUUUUUCUGCUAA